rnacentral:rRNA from 1 species
GACGUAGGGCGCGAGCGUUGUCCGGAUUUAUUGGGCGUAAAGAGCUCGUAGGCGGCUUGUUGCGUCGGCUGUGAAAACCCGCAGCUCAACUGUGGGCUUGCAGCUGAUACGGGCAGGCUAGAAUUCGGUAGGGGAGACUGGAAUCCAGGUGUGAGCGGUGAAAUGACGUAGAUAUCUGGAGGAACACCGGUGGCGAAGGCGGCAUUCUGGACCGAAACUGACGCUGAUGCGCGAAAGCCAGGGG